CAUGCCGUAAACGUUGGGUGCUAGACGUGGGGGCCUUUCCACGGUUUCCGUGUCGUAGCUAACGCAUUAAGCACCCCGCCUGGGGAGUACGGCCGCAAGGCUAAAACUCAAAGGAAUUGACGGGGGCCCGCACAAGCGGCGGAGCAUGCGGAUUAAUUCGAUGCAACGCGAAGAACCUUACCAGGACUUGACAUGGAAUUUAAAACUCUAGAGAUAGAGCCAUAACAAGUUCACACAGGUGG
rnacentral:rRNA from 1 species